rnacentral:tRNA from 1 species
UCCUGGCGCGAGCCUGGAUGGUUUUGGAAUGCUUCUGAUAUAAAGUCCUUGCCUGCAGGAUCGGGCAAGGCACAGCCAGAGAGGCUGCCUGCACUUCGGUGUAACGCGCCGUCAACAUAUCCCUUCCAGCGACAAUCAAUGGACCCUUUUGGGGCUAGUAGCUCAGUUGGUUAGAGCACACGCUUGAUAAGCGUGGGGUCGGAGGUUCAAGUCCUCCCUGGCCCACCAGUUCUGCUGCGUGUCCAUAGCGUUAUGGUCAUGCACUGAUGGGGGCGUAGCUCAGCUGGGAGAGCACCUGCUUUGCAAGCAGGGGGUCGUCGGUUCGAUCCCGUCCGCCUCCACCAUAAACUGGUGUUGAGAGGUCUGGGAAUGAUUGUCGCCGGAAGAUAAUGGAGAUCGGACGGAUACCUUGUGGAACCGCGUUGGCGGUGCAUGGGGUGUUGCGGUCUGGUAAGUUUGCUCUUUGAUAAUGUGAAUAGGUUGGUGCGUUUGUGGACGUGCCUUUGUCACGGGUUGGUCUGACCCGUG